rnacentral:rRNA from 1 species
GACGAACGCUGGCGGCGUGCCUAAUACAUGCAAGUAGAACGCUGAAGGAGGAGCUUGCUUCUCUGGAUGAGUUGCGAACGGGUGAGUAACGCGUAGGUAACCUGCCUGGUAGCGGGGGAUAACUAUUGGAAACGAUAGCUAAUACCGCAUAAUAGCAGUUGUUGCAUGACAACUGUUUGAAAGGUGCAAAUGCAUCACUACCAGAUGGACCUGCGUUGUAUUAGCAAGUUGGUGGGGUAAAGGCUCACCAAGGCGACGAUACAUAGCCGACCUGAGAGGGUGAUCGGCCACACUGGGACUGAGACACGGCCCAGACUCCUACGGGAGGCAGCAGUAGGGAAUCUUCGGCAAUGGACGGAAGUCUGACCGAGCAACGCCGCGUGAGUGAAGAAGGUUUUCGGAUCGUAAAGCUCUGUUGUAAGAGAAGAACGAGUGUGAGAGUGGAAAGUUCACACUGUGACGGUAUCUUACCAGAAAGGGACGGCUAACUACGUG